ACGGUAGCACAGAGAGCUUGCUCUCGGGUGACGAGUGGCGGACGGGUGAGUAAUGUCUGGGAAACUGCCUGAUGGAGGGGGAUAACUACUGGAAACGGUAGCUAAUACCGCAUAACGUCGCAAGACCAAAGAGGGGGACCUUCGGGCCUCUUGCCAUCAGAUGUGCCCAGAUGGGAUUAGCUAGUAGGUGGGGUAACGGCUCACCUAGGCGACGAUCCCUAGCUGGUCUGAGAGGAUGACCAGCCACACUGGAACUGAGACACGGUCCAGACUCCUACGGGAGGCAGCAGUGGGGAAUAUUGCACAAUGGGCGCAAGCCUGAUGCAGCCAUGCCGCGUGUAUGAAGAAGGCCUUCGGGUUGUAAAGUACUUUCAGCGGGGAGGAAGGUGUUGAGGUUAAUAACCUCAGCAAUUGACGUUACCCGCAGAAGAAGCACCGGCUAACUCCGUGCCAGCAGCCGCGGUAAUACGGAGGGUGCAAGCGUUA
rnacentral:rRNA from 1 species